rnacentral:rRNA from 1 species
UACAGAGGGUGCGAGCGUUAAUCGGAAUUACUGGGCGUAAAGCGCGCGUAGGCGGCUUUUCAAGUCGAUUGUGAAAUCCCCGGGCUUAACCUGGGAACUGCAGUCGAGACUGUCUAGCUAGAGUAUGGGAGAGGGAAGUGGAAUUUCAGGUGUAGCGUUGAAAUGCGUAGAUAUCUGAAGGAACAUCAGUGGCGAAAGCGACUUCCUGGACCAAUACUGACGCUCAUGUGCGAAAGCGUGGGGAGCAAACAGG